rnacentral:rRNA from 1 species
AUACGGAGGGUCCAAGCGUUAUCCGGAAUCAUUGGGUUUAAAGGGUCCGCAGGCGGUCAAUUAAGUCAGAGGUGAAAGCCCAUCGCUCAACGAUGGAACUGCCUUUGAUACUGGUUGACUUGAGUUAUACGGAAGUAGAUAGAAUAAGUAGUGUAGCGGUGAAAUGCAUAGAUAUUACUUAGAAUACCGAUUGCGAAGGCAGUCUACUACGUAUAUACUGACGCUGAGGGACGAAAGCGUGUGGAGCGAACAGGAUUAGAUACCCUAGUAGUCC